GCCCGUUUAGCUCAGUGGUAGAGCGCGCCACUCGUAGGAUUCGCAUAGAUUCGUAUGCCAACCUCGAUGGUGAGGUCGGUUGUUCAAUCCAGCCAAUGGGCA